rnacentral:rRNA from 1 species
UAAUACGGGGUGGGCAAGCGUUGCCCGGAUUCACUGGGCUUAAAGGGGAUGUAGGCGGUUCGGUGUGUCAGGCGUGUAAUCCACGGGCUCAACCCGUGGACUGCGUCUGAAACUACCGAGCUAGAGGAUGGGAGAGGAGAGAGGAACUCCCGGUGUAGCGGUGAAAUGCGUAGAUAUCGGGGGGAACGCCAGUGGCGAAGGCGGCUCUCUGGCCUAUUCCUGACGCUGAGGUCCGAAAGCCAGGGUAGCGAAGGGGAUUAGAUACCCCCGUAGUCCUGGCCGUAAACGAUGGGUGCUAGGUGUGGGUUUCGAUUUUAUCGGAAUCUGUGCCGCAGGGAAACCGUUAAGCACCCCGCCUGGGGAGUACGCUUGCAAGGGCG